CUGCAGGGCUUUGUAAUUCCUGCUUGGAAAGACACAGGAGUCUGUCCGUCCUGUCCAUGGACAGGGAGUCUGUCCAUCCUUUCCAUGGACAGGGAGUCUGUCCGUCCUGUGCAUGGACAGGGAGUCUGUCCAUCCUUUCCAUGGACAGGGAGUCUGUCCGUCCUGUGCAUGGACAGGGAGUCUGUCCAUCCUUGGGCACAGGGAGUCUGUCCGUCCUGUCCAUGGACAGGGAGUCUGUCCAUCCUUUCCUUGGACAGGGAGUCUGUCCAUCCUUUCCAUGGACACAGGGGGUCUGUCCAUCCUGUCCAUGGACAGGGGGGUCUGUCCAUCCUUUCCAUGGACAGGGAGUCUGUCCAUCCUUUCCAUGGACAGGGGGUCUGUCCAUCCCUGGACACAGGGGGUCUGUCCAUCCUUUCCAUGGACAGGGAGUCUGUCCAUCCCUGGGCACAGGGGGUCUGUCCAUCCCUGGGCACAGGGAGUCUGUCCAUCCCUGGGCACAGGAGUCUGUCCAUCCCUGGGCACAGGGGGUCUGUCCAUCCCUGGGCACAGGGGUCUGUCCAUCCCUGGACACAGGGGGUCUGUCCAUCCCUGGACACAGGGGGUCUGUCCAUCCCUGGACACAGGGGUCUGUCCAUCCCUGGGCACAGGGAGUCUGUCCAUCCUUUCCAUGGACACAGGGGGUCUGUCCAUCCCUGGGCACAGGGGUCCCUCCAGUCCCAACCCAGGACACAGGGGCUCCAUCCAUCCCCGUUCCUGUGCCAGACUGUGCUGGCACAGACAGCGAGCCCAUGCCAAUCUAUUUUUUUGGCAUAAACACGCAUUUUUGGCG
rnacentral:lncRNA from 1 species